rnacentral:tRNA from 1 species
UCCCUUGUGGCUCAGAUGGUAGAGCAUCUGACUACGAUGCGGGAGACUCAGGUUCGAUCCCUGGGUUGGGAA